GACGAACGCUGGCGGCGUGCUUAACACAUGCAAGUCGAGCGGUAAGGCCCUUUCGGGGGUACACGAGCGGCGAACGGGUGAGUAACACGUGGGUGACCUGCCCUCAGCUCUGGGAUAAGCCUGGGAAACCGGGUCUAGUACCGGAUAUGACUCCAUGACGCAUGUUGUGGGGUGGAAAGCCUUGUGCGGCUGAGGAUGGGCCCGCGGCCUAUCAGCUUGUUGGUGGGGUGAUGGCCUACCAAGGCGACGACGGGUAGCCGGCCUGAGAGGGCGACCGGCCACACUGGGACUGAGACACGGCCCAGACUCCUACGGGAGGCAGCAGUGGGGAAUCUUGCGCAAUGGGCGAAAGCCUGACGCAGCGACGCCGCGUGAGGGAUGACGGCCUCGG
rnacentral:rRNA from 1 species